UACAGAGGUCUCAAGCGUUGUUCGGAAUCACUGGGCGUAAAGGGUGCGUAGGUGGCGUGGUAAGUCAGAUGUGAAAGCCCGGGGCUCAACCUCGGAAUUGCAUCCGAUACUACCAUGCUAGAGUACUGAAGAGGUGACUAGAAUUCUCGGUGUAGCAGUGAAAUGCGUAGAUAUCGAGAGGAACACCGGUGGCGAAGGCGGCAUCCUGGACCGACAUUGACGCUGAGGCGCGAAAGCCAGGGGAGCAAACGGG
rnacentral:rRNA from 1 species